CCAGGUCAGGCGGGACUACCCGCUGAGUUUAAGCAUACUAGGGGGGGGGGGGGGGUAGU
rnacentral:rRNA from 1 species